rnacentral:rRNA from 1 species
CAUUAAGUCUGAGACCUGAUGCCGAGCCGAUUGUGGUGAAGUGGAUGAUCCUAUGCUGUCGAGAAAAGCCUCUAGCGAGUUUCAUGGCGGCCCGUACCCUAAACCGACUCAGGUGGUCAGGUAGAGAAUACCGAGGCGUUCGGGUGAACUAUGGUUAAGGAACUCGGCAAAAUGCCCCCGUAACUUCGGGAGAAGGGGGGCCAUCACCGGUGAUUGAAUUUACUUCAUGAGCUGGGGGUGGCCGCAGAGACCAGCGAGAAGCGACUGUUUACUAAAAACACAGGUCCGUGCGAAGCCGUAAGGCGAUGUAUACGGACUGACGCCUGCCCGGUGCUGGAACGUUAAGGGGACCGGUUAGUCACUCUUCGGGGUGGCGAAGCUGAGAACUUAAGCGCCAGUAAACGGCGGUGGUAACUAUAACCAUCCUAAGGUAGCGAAAUUCCUUGUCGGGUAAGUUCCGACCUGCACGAAUGGCGUAACGACUUCUCGACUGUCUCAACCAUAGGCCCGGUGAAAUUGCACUACGAGUAAAGAUGCUCGUUUCGCGCAGCAGGACGGAAAGACCCCGGGACCUUUACUACAGUUUGAUAUUGGUGUUCGGUUCGGCUUGUGUAGGAUAGCUGGGAGACUUUGAACUCUGGACGCCAGUUCAGGGGGAGUCGUCGUUGAAAUACCAGUCUGGUCGUGCUGGAUGUCUAACCUGGGUCCGUGAUCCGGAUCAGGGACAGUGUCUGAUGGGUAGUUUAACUGGGGCGGUUGCCUCCUAAAGAGUAACGGAGGCGCCCAAAGGUUCCCUCAGCCUGGUUGGCAAUCAGGUGUUGAGUGUAAGUGCACAAGGGAGCUUGACUGUGAGACCGACGGGUCGAGCAGGGACGAAAGUCGGGACUAGUGAUCCGGCGGUGGCUUGUGGAAGCGCCGUCGCUCAACGGAUAAAAGGUACCCCGGGGAUAACAGGCUGAUCUUCCCCAAGAGUCCAUAUCGACGGGAUGGUUUGGCACCUCGAUGUCGGCUCGUCGCAUCCUGGGGCUGGAGUCGGUCCCAAGGGUUGGGCUGUUCGCCCAUUAAAGCGGUACGCGAGCUGGGUUUAGAACGUCGUGAGACAGUUCGGUCCCUAUCCGCUGCGCGCGCAGGAACAUUGAGAAGGGCUGUCCCUAGUACGAGAGGACCGGGACGGACGAACCUCUGGUGUGCCAGUUGUUCUGCCAAGGGCAUGGCUGGUUGGCUACGUUCGGGAGGGAUAACCGCUGAAAGCAUCUAAGCGGGAAGCCUGCUUCGAGAUGAGUGUUCCCACCCCCUUGAGGGGUUAAGGCUCCCAGUAGACGACUGGGUUGAUAGGCCGGAUCUGGAAGCCCAGUAAUGGGUGGAGGUGACCGGUACUAAUAGGCCGAGGGCUUGUCCU